CCCGUAAAGCAGCACGUCUCUUGUGCUGUCCGGUGAGCUCGCGUCGGCCCUUGAAAAUCCGAGGGAGACGGUGUAAUUUUCGUGCGAGGUCGUACCCAUAUCCGCAGCAGGUCUCCAAGGUGAACAGCCUCUGGCCGAUAGAACAAUGUAGGUAAGGGAAGUCGGCAAACUAGAUCCGUAACCUGCAUUGUUAUUUUUCGUCACUACCUCCCCGCGUCGGGAAUGGGUAAUUUGCGCGCCUGCUGCCUUCCUUGGAUGUGGUAGCCGUUUCUCAGGCUCCCUCUCCGGAAUCGAACCCUGAUUCCCCGUCACCCGUAAGAACCUCGGUAGGCAAAUACCGUACCGACGAAAGUUGAUAGGGCAGACACUUGAAUGAUCCGUCGCCGGUGCUAGACCGUGCGAUCCGCAAAGUUAUCCAGAGUCACCAAGGCGAACGCGCCCGAAGACGCGGCCGGUUUUUGGUCUGAUAAAUGCACGCCUCCCGCGAGGUCGGCGCUUCUCGCAUGUAUUAGCUCUAGAAUUACCACAGUUAUCCAAGUAAACUGUACGAUCAAAUGAACCAUAACUGAUUUAAUGGGCCAUUCGCAGUUUCACUGUACGAGAGCUCGUACUUAGACUUGCAUGGCUUAAUCUUUGAGA
rnacentral:ncRNA from 1 species